AUACGUAGGGGGCGAGCGUUGUCCGGAAUGAUUGGGCGUAAAGGGCGCGUAGGCGGCCCGGUAAGUCUGGAGUGAAAGUCCCGUUUUUAAGAUGGGAAUUGCUUUGGAUACUGUCGGGCUUGAGUGCAGGAGAGGGAAGUGGAAUUCCCAGUGUAGCGGUGAAAUGCGUAGAGAUUGGGAGGAACACCAGUGGCGAAGGCGACUUACUGGACUGUAACUGACGCUGAGGCGCGAAAGUGUGGGGAGCAAACAGGAUUAGAUACCCUGGUAGUCCACACUGUAAACGAUGAAUGCUAGGUGUAGGGGGUAUCGACCCCUUCUGUGCCGCAGUCAACACAAUAAGCAUUCCGCCUGGGGAGUACGGCCGCAAGGUUGAAACUCAAAGGAAUUGACGGG
rnacentral:rRNA from 1 species